GUUUUAGGGUUUAGGAUUUAAAUUUAGAUUUUAACUAAUUAUGUUAUUAUUCUCGGAUUUAACAUAAAAAAUAAAAAAAUAACCUAUAUUUCUAAACCCUAAAAUGUAUGAAAAAAACAAACAAAUGACAAUCACUUUAAUAAUUAGAAAGCAUAAAAUUAGCUUUUAACCCUAGAAUUUUGGUUAUAAUCCAAAAAAUUUUGAUCAAAUUAGGGAAG
rnacentral:lncRNA from 1 species